rnacentral:rRNA from 1 species
UUUUAUGGAGAGUUUGAUCCUGGCUCAGGAUGAACGCUGGCGGCGUGCCUAAUACAUGCAAGUCGAGCGAACAGAUAAGGAGCUUGCUCCUUUGACGUUAGCGGCGGACGGG